CCCACCAGGUCUCUUUGGACCAGGCCCCACAGGUCUCUUUGGACCAGGCCCCACAGGUCUCUUUGGACCAGGCCCCACAGGUCUCUUUGGACCAGGCCCCACAGGUCUCUUUGGACCAGGCCCCACAGGUCUCUUUGGACCAGGCCCCACAGGUCUCUUUGGACCAGGCCCCACAGGUCUCUUUGGACCAGGCCCCACAGGUCUCUUUGGACCAGGCCCCACAGGUCUCUUUGGACCAGGCCCCACAGGUCUCUUUGGACCAGGCCCCACAGGUCUCUUUGGACCAGGCCCCACAGGUCUCUUUGGACCAGGGCCCACAGGUCUCUUUGGACCAGGGCCCACAGGUCUCUUUGGACCAGGGCCCACAGGUCUCUUUGGACCAGGGCCCACAGGUCUCUUUGGACCAGGGCCCACAGGUCUCUCUGGACCAGGCCCCACAGGUCUCUC